rnacentral:lncRNA from 1 species
UAAAAGCUUCCUCUUCUUGAAUGUUGAGGGGACUCUGUCUCUCUGUGUUUUCUUGGAGGCGGAACAUUUUUUCAGGGAUAACAAAAUUUUGAGCAGCAAAUAUAUAGGGCGGUUUAAGUUUAAAAAUAGCUAAAGAGUACUCACUAUCUGUGUUAGGGAAGCCAGAGGAAAAAUUUUGCUCCUCUGGUAAAAAAUUGAAAAUGACAGAAAAUUAUUAAGGAAGUACUCUCAAAAUAUAUAUAUAUAUAUAUAUAUAUAUAUAUAUAUAUAUAUAUAUAUAUAUAUAUAUAUAUAUAUAUAUAUAUAUAUAUAUAUAUAUUCUGUUCUUGUUCGUGGUUGUGGAUUUUGCCGAAUCUCUCAGGCUUUCAUGGUUGUUGGUGGAAUCGUGCUUGGAAGCUCGUUUGAACCCUGUUCGCUUCUCCUAAAAGGCAAACUCCUCUCAAAAUCUUAAUUUUUUUUAGUCGAGGUGUUGUAGUUCGCAUAUUUGAGCUCUUUCGAUGCUUGAGUUUGUUCUUGUUGGAUGUCUUUGUUGUUUUCUUACUCCAUCCUGAUCAAGCAUAAAAUCUGUACACGUAGUGUUUGAGUUUUCUGUUUCUUGUGUAUUCUUCUGCCUCAUUUCAAUGUAUUAUUAUUAUUAUUUUAUUGGGAUAAUGCACAAGUAGGCGCUUAACCUAUGCCCGAAGGGUCAAAUACACACUUAUACUAUAUUAAGGUUUUAUUAUCCUUCUAAAUUUAUUUUAUUAAUAAUUUUUAUCUUUUUUUUUUACAUAUGUGGCACUAUCAUGUGGGCCCAACACAGGUUAAAUUUUUUUUAAGCUAGUGCUACAUAGGCCGAAAAUUGGUAGAAAAUUAGUUAUAAAAUAAGUUCAGGGUAUUAUAGGACCUUAGUAUAGUAUAAGUGUCUCUGAGAUUUCGAGCAUAGGUUGAGGGGGCACUUGUACAUUUUCUCUAUUUUAUUUAAUGUUGGAAAGUUUCGCACCAUGGUUAUAUGGGGUUAGUUUUUGUGGGUAUGUUGAUAUUCGGAUGUUGCGUAUGUCCAUUGUUUAGUUUCAUCGAGUUAGUUGCGCUAUUGAGUUGAAGAUUCGUGGGUCAUGACUCAAUGUUAUGGCCUUUAAGUUGUUCGAGUUUGAGUUUUUAUAGUGUUAUUUCCGUUUUAGGCAAUAUUAUUUCAUUUUUAUGAAAUGGGGCAGAAUCUGAGGGGAAAUUUUUGCCGAAAGUUGUUUGUCAGUUGUAAAAUGCAAUAUUGAUUUUCUUUGUCUAGCUUGUGUGUUCGCUCAGUUUUAAUAUGGGAGGUCUCCUUUUGUUUUAGUUCAAAUCUUGUAAUGCAGUAGCUUACUGUCUUGUUUAUAUUCUCUGUUUUGACUUGAAUAUUUUUGGAUAGAGUCUGGUUCUGUUUAAGCAUAAGCUCCCAACUCAUUUUCUUCACUAUGCAAGAUUUACUAUCGAUUGUCAGUCCUUAUCCCCUUAUCUUCUUUAAUGAAAGAAGUUGUAUCUUUAGUGAUUUGAGUUAAUUUUUAUUUUGUUUCGAGUUGUGUGUUCAUCUGUUUUACCUCUUUGCCUAACAUGUUUUCAAGUGUCGAUUUUUCUGCAUUUAUGUUUGUUAUUUUGAUGUUGCUUUAAGCUGUUCACAUCAUAUUCUCACUGACUUGACCGUCGCAAAUUCCAAGUUGGUAACUUAGGAUGUGCGGCUUCGCUUGUGAUAAAAUAUGUGAAUCUUUUAAGAGUUCGGCUAACUUUUUAAUAUCCCAUUCUAACUCUUAUUUCUAAAACUAAAAUUGUCCUUUGCAAUCAAUUUAAUCACAUUACUUUACCUAAUAUAACAUAGUCAUUUCAAACGUGGAUUUUGUUACCGAAAUCAUCCUUGUCCAACAAUAUUGGUGUUUAGGGUGAAUUUUAAGUUGUUUCCAUGUUUAAGUUUAAGUUAUGGUUACCUGCUUGCCCUUGUUAAAUUUGUUUGAAAGCUUAUCCUCGUUGAAUGUGUUAAUUUAUAUUUUGAAGUCCUCCAGUCACGGUAGUACGCAAUAUUAUUUUAUGAAUCAAAGACGGCAUGAGUGUUCCUUUCAAAUUACUCAAGCUGUUGACUUUAGACUAGCCUGCCAAGUUUUAAUUUUCUCUUUUUGUUUUUUGUUGUUUUGCUGAGUUCGUGGUCUGUUCAUAUAAUUUUACAUAUAAAAGAAAAUUUUAGUUCAAAAUGCUUAGGUUGAUCAUAUCUUAAUGUGUCAAAGGCAUGUCCAGUUGGUGUCUGAAUUUAGGUGAGUUCAGUUAUUGUCAUUUAUCUGUAUGAAAGUGCACUUAGUCGAGCAUUGUUGUACGGUGAAGUUAUUUUCCCUCUGCUUCAUCUCAUAGCAUUAAAUUCAACUAAGCACUUGUUUAACACAUUUUAUUUUAGUACAUGCCGAUUACAUGGAAACUCUAGAUAUUUACCUAAUUUGUGUUUUGAGGAUAUAAAUUUUGAAUGCUAAUUCUCAUCAUUUUAUUGCAUGUGCUGCUAUUCAAGCCACCUUCGGGUAUUGUUUCUUCCCUCGUACACUCUGGGUGGGCCAUAAAGGCCCAAAUGCAACUCAUUUUACUUGAGUUCAGUUCACAAAGCCAGCGUACAGGUUUCAAAGUUCAAGAAUUCGAAGCAAAUUGACCGGAGUUGAAAAGAUUGGGUCUAAGCCCAAAUUUGUUUUCGAAAUUUUGUAUUUUGUUAUCUUUGGGCCAAAUCCCUUUUGUAUCAUUUUUACGUUGAAUAGUUUAGAAUAGGUACAAGUUGAGUGGGCCUAAGGCCCAAAAACAAAGGGUCCAAAUACUGGUCCAUGCAGACAGAAAUCGUAUUUUGACCCGAUCCCCCUCUCUCUCUCUCUCUCUUUAUUUUUUGUAUAUUUAUUUGUUGAUUGUCGCUAGUUUAGGGUUAGAAAUUUACAAACCCCCGCAAAGCGCCACUAUAUUCUAACGGUUUAAACUAAUCGAUCGACUAUAAAAAGACUUAAAAAAUUACUUAAAUAAUUUUACGGAUUAAAAUAAUCCACUUAGAUAAUAGGUUAGUAUCUUUGCAUUUCUAAACAAAUUUUAAAAGCAAAUUAAAGUUUAUCAGACAAUUGCGAGUUAACAAAUAUUUUAGGUGCCGUAAAACCUUCAUAAAAUAUUAAUAGAAAUUCCAGAACCCC